rnacentral:lncRNA from 1 species
CCACCAGGAGCCCCAAACCACACAUUUCCAAAAAACAGCAAGCUCCCAGGCCCCUUGUUUGAGGGACGAUUCCACCUUGGUGCAAAGGCAGAAAUAACUUAUGGGAGACUCUGCCUCAGCUUGUCCUUUCCAAACUCCAGCUCCUGCCGUGAUGCUGCAGGGCUCCCCCAGGGCCCAGAGCAGAGCUGGGCCUUGGAGCAGCACGAAGAGAGACUGCUGUGAAGUCCUGGCCCUGGCUCUAUUGAUAUGCUAGAAUCUGCUGAAGACUAAGUAAUGCUGGAUCUCAGCUGUCCCUAGAGGUCAGGCCUCACUUCAGGAAGGGGUGACUCCCUUCAAAG